rnacentral:rRNA from 1 species
GACGAACGCUGGCGGCGUGCCUAAUACAUGCAAGUAGAACGCUGAAGAGAGGAGCUUGCUCUUCUUGGAUGAGUUGCGAACGGGUGAGUAACGCGUAGGUAACCUGCCUUGUAGCGGGGGAUAACUAUUGGAAACGAUAGCUAAUACCGCAUGACAUUGGAUGACACAUGUCAUUUAUUUGAAAGGGGCGAUUGCUCCACUACCAGAUGGACCUGCGUUGUAUUAGCUAGUAGGUGAGGUAACGGCUCACCUAGGCGACGAUACAUAGCCGACCUGAGAGGGUGAUCGGAUACGCUGGGACUGAAACGCGGCCCAGACUCCUACGGGAGGCAGCAGUAGGGAAUCUUCGGCUAUGGGGGCGACCCUGACCGAGCCACGCCGCGUGAGUGAAGAAAGUUUUCGGAUCGCAAAGCUCUGUUGUCAGUCAAGAACGAGUGUGAGAGUGGAAAAUUCGCACUGUGACGGUAUCUUACCAGAAAGGGACGGCUAACUACGUGCCCGCCGCCGCGGUAAUACGUAUGAUCCCGAGCGUUGUCCAGAUUUAUUGGGCGUAAAGCGAGCGCAGGCGGUUUGAUAAGUCUGAAGUUAAAGGCUGUGGCUCAACCAUAGUUCGCUUUGGAAACUGUCAAACUUGAGUGCAGAAGGGGAGAGUGGAAUUCCAUGUGUAGCGGUGAAAUGCGUAGAUAUAUGGAGGAACACCGGUGGCGAAAGCGGCUCUCUGGUCUGUAACUGACGCUGAGGCUCGAAAGCGUGGGGAGCGAACAGGAUUAGAUACCCUGGUAGUCCACGCCGUAAACGAUGAGUGCUAGGUGUUGGAUCCUUUCCGGGAUUCAGUGCCGCAGCUAACGCAUUAAGCACUCCGCCUGGGGAGUACGACCGCAAGGUUGAAACUCAAAGGAAUUGACGGGGGCCCGCACAAGCGGUGGAGCAUGUGGUUUAAUUCGAAGCAACGCGAAGAACCUUACCAGGUCUUGACAUCCCGAUGCUAUUUCUAGAGAUAGAAAGUUACUUCGGUACAUCGGUGACAGGUGGUGCAUGGUUGUCGUCAGCUCGUGUCGUGAGAUGUUGGGUUAAGUCCCGCAACGAGCGCAACCCCUAUUGUUAGUUGCCAUCAUUCAGUUGGGCACUCUAGCGAGACUGCCGGUAAUAAACCGGAGGAAGGUGGGGAUGACGUCAAAUCAUCAUGCCCCUUAUGACCUGGGCUACACACGUGCUACAAUGGUUGGUACAACAAGUUGCGAGUCGGUGACGGCAAGCUAAUCUCUUAAAGCCAAUCUCAGUUCGGAUUGUAGGCUGCAACUCGCCUACAUGAAGUCGGAAUCGCUAGUAAUCGCGGAUCAGCACGCCGCGGUGAAUACGUUCCCGGGCCU